rnacentral:rRNA from 1 species
GAAGGGAAACCGAGUCUUAAUUGGGCGUUAAGUUGCAGGGUAUAGACCCGAAACCCGGUGAUCUAGCCAUGGGCAGGUUGAAGGUUGGGUAACACUAACUGGAGGACCGAACCGACUAAUGUUGAAAAAUUAGCGGAUGACCUGUGGCUGGGGGUGAAAGGCCAAUCAAACCGGGAGAUAGCUGGUUCUCCCCGAAAGCUAUUUAGGUAGCGCCUCGUGAAUUCAUCUCCGGGGGUAGAGCACUGUUUCGGCUAGGGGGCCAUCCCGGCUUACCAACCCGAUGCAAACUGCGAAUACCGGAGAAUGUUAUCACGGGAGACACACGGCGGGUGCUAACGUCCGUCGUGAAGAGGGAAACAACCCAGACCGCCAGCUAAGGUCCCAAAGUCAUGGUUAAGUGGGAAACGAUGUGGGAAGGCCCAGACAGCCAGGAUGUUGGCUUAGAAGCAGCCAUCAUUUAAAGAAAGCGUAAUAGCUCACUGGUCGAGUCGGCCUGCGCGGAAGAUGUAACGGGGCUAAACCAUGCACCGAAGCUGCGGCAGCGACACUGUGUGUUGUUGGGUAGGGGAGCGUUCUGUAAGCCUGUGAAGGUGUGUCGUGAGGCAUGCUGGAGGUAUCAGAAGUGCGAAUGCUGACAUAAGUAACGAUAAAGCGGGUGAAAAGCCCGCUCGCCGGAAGACCAAGGGUUCCUGUCCAACGUUAAUCGGGGCAGGGUGAGUCGACCCCUAAGGCGAGGCCGAAAGGCGUAGUCGAUGGGAAACGGGUUAAUAUUCCCGUACUUGGUGUUACUGCGAAGGGGGGACGGAGAAGGCUAUGUUGGCCGGGCGACGGUUGUCCCGGUUUAAGCGUGUAGGUGUGUGUUCCAGGUAAAUCCGGUU